rnacentral:rRNA from 1 species
CCAAUAGCGUAUAUUAAAGUUGUUGCAGUUAAAAAGCUCGUAGUUGAAUUUCGGGAUCAAUAUGUCGGUCGUGCCUUCGGUACGUACUGGUAUCAUUGGUCUCUCCUUUCUGACGAACCAUGAUGUCAUUAAUUUGGUGUUAUGGGGAGUUAGGACUGUUACUUUGAAAAAAUUAGAGUGUUUAAAGCAGGCUUUAGCUUGAAUACAUUAGCAUGGAAUAAUGAACUAGGACGUUCGAACCUAUUUUGUUGGUUUCUAGGAUCAACGUAAUGAUUAAUAGGGAUAGUUGGGGGCAUUAGUAUUCAAUUGUCAGAGGUGAAAUUCUUGGAUUUAUUGAAGACUAACUACUGCGAAAGCAUUUGCCAAGGAUGUUUUCAUUAAUCAAGAACGAAAGUUAGGGGAUCGAAGACGAUCAGAUACCGUCGUAGUCUUAACCAUAAACUAUGCCGACUAGGGAUCGGAUGAUGUUAAUUUUUUAAUGACUCAUUCGGCGCCUUACG